AUUGAACGCUGGCGGCAUGCCUUACACAUGCAAGUCGAACGGUAACAGGUCUUCGGAUGCUGACGAGUGGCGAACGGGUGAGUAAUACAUCGGAACGUGCCCGAUCGUGGGGGAUAACGGAGCGAAAGCUUUGCUAAUACCGCAUACGAUCUACGGAUGAAAGCAGGGGACCGCAAGGCCUUGCGCGGACGGAGCGGCCGAUGGCAGAUUAGGUAGUUGGUGGGAUAAAAGCUUACCAAGCCGACGAUCUGUAGCUGGUCUGAGAGGACGACCAGCCACACUGGGACUGAGACACGGCCCAGACUCCUACGGGAGGCAGCAGUGGGGAAUUUUGGACAAUGGGCGAAAGCCUGAUCCAGCCAUGCCGCGUGCAGGAAGAAGGCCUGGUUGUAACUAGCUUAGUCUAGAAAAGGGUAGGCGAGGUAAGUACCUACGUGCUUUGAUGGUACUGGAAGAAUAAGCACCGGCUAACUACGUAGCCACGCAGCCGCGGUAA
rnacentral:rRNA from 1 species